rnacentral:rRNA from 1 species
GGGUGAGUAACACGUGGAUAACCUACCUAUAAGACUGGGAUAACUUCGGGAAACCGGAGCUAAUACCGGAUAAUAUUUUGAACCGCAUGGUUCAAAAGUGAAAGACGGCCUUGCUGUCACUUAUAGAUGGAUCCGCGCUGCAUUAGCUAGUUGGUAAGGUAACGGCUUACCAAGGCAACGAUGCAUAGCCGACCUGAGAGGGUGAUCGGCCACACUGGAACUGAGACACGGUCCAG